UAUCUAUCUAUCUAUCUAUCUAUCUAUCUAUCUAUCUAUCUAUCUAUCAUCUAUCUAUAUAUAUAUAUAUCUUUAUGUACGUAUGUAUAGAUAAAUCCAUAACACAAAACAGCCUGACUUCACCCAGGCUACGCCAUUCCGUGUCUGUCUUUAUGACUUUACCGAGGAAUUUUCUUGAUGUGAUACCAGACUAAAAAGUGAUUAAUAUUCUUCAAACAUUUUUUUCUUAACAAGCAAAAAAAAAAAAAAAAGAAAGGAAGAAAGCAAAGGAAGAAAAGU